GUUUGAUCCUGGCUCAGGACGAACGCUGGCGGCGUGCUUAACACAUGCAAGUCGAACGAUGAACCACUUCGGUGGGGAUUAGUGGCGAACGGGUGAGUAACACGUGGGCAAUCUGCCCUUCACUCCGGGACAAGCCCUGGAAACGGGGUCUAAUACCGGAUAACACUUCCACUCGCAUGGGUGGGGGUUAAAAGCUCCGGCGGUGAGGGAUGAGCCCGCGGCCUAUCAGCUUGUUGGUGAGGUAACGGCUCACCAAGGCGACGACGGGUAGCCGGCCUGAGAGGGCGACCGGCCACACUGGGACUGAGACACGGCCCAGACUCCUACGGGAGGCAGCAGUGGGGAAUAUUGCACAAUGGGCGAAAGCCUGAUGCAGCGACGCCGCGUGAGGGAUGACGGCCUUCGGGUUGUAAACCUCUUUCAGCAGGGAAGAAGCGCAAGUGAC
rnacentral:rRNA from 1 species